rnacentral:rRNA from 1 species
GAUGAACGCUGACAGAAUGCUUAACACAUGCAAGUCAACUUGAAUUUGGGUUUUUAACUUAGAUUUGGGUGGCGGACGGGUGAGCAACGCGUAAAGAACUUGCCUCACAGCUAGGGACAACAUUUAGAAAUGAAUGCUAAUACCUGAUAUUAUGAUUUUAAGGCAUCUUAGAAUUAUGAAAGCUAUAAGCACUGUGAGAGAGCUUUGCGUCCCAUUAGCUAGUUGGAGAGGUAACAGCUCACCAAGGCGAUGAUGGGUAGCCGGCCUGAGAGGGUGAUCGGCCACAAGGGGACUGAGACACGGCCCUUACUCCUACGGGAGGCAGCAGUGGGGAAUAUUGGACAAUGGACCAAGAGUCUGAUCCAGCAAUUCUGUGUGCACGAUGAAGUUUUUCGGAAUGUAAAGUGCUUUCAGUUGGGAAGAAAAAAAUGACGGUACCAACAGAAGAAGUGACGGCUAAAUACGUGCCAGCAGCCGCGGUAAUACGUAUGUCACGAGCGUUAUCCGGAUUUAUUGGGCGUAAAGCGCGUCUAGGUGGUUAUGUAAGUCUGAUGUGAAAAUGCAGGGCUCAACUCUGUAUUGCGUUGGAAACUGUAUAACUAGAGUACUGGAGAGGUAAGCGGAACUACAAGUGUAGAGGUGAAAUUCGUAGAUAUUUGUAGGAAUGCCGAUGGGGAAGCCAGCUUACUGGACAGAUACUGACGCUAAAGCGCGAAAGCGUGGGUAGCAAACAGG